rnacentral:tRNA from 1 species
GGGUGAAGGACUUUUGGUAGAGCAGGUGACUCUUAAUAACCUGGGUCGGGGGUUCGAAUCCCUCAUAACCCA